GGCAUGUUGAUCUGUGCUCCCUUUGUUUCCAUAAACGCUGAUACCUUGAUUCACCCGGUUACCGUCCAGGUCAAACUCUUUCCCAAGAGACUCCAUGACAAGCUGCUGUAAAUACCUACUGAAUAGUAAUAAACUGUCCUUGUAUGGGAGGACAACCAUAUCCUUGGAUCCAACUCCAUCAGUUGCCCAGUACCAACACAAAGCAAGUAACGCUGCCGGGUUAUCCCGAACCACAGUGGUCCUGUUUGCUUCAUCCAUCAAUGCAGCACCAGCGAGCAUCUCUCUAAUAUCAAUUCCCUGAAGUGCAGCUGGAAGUAGACCAACUGCAGACAUUUCUGAGGUUCUUCCGCCCACCCAAUCAAACAUAGGG
rnacentral:misc_RNA from 1 species